rnacentral:rRNA from 1 species
AACGAACGCUGGCGGCAUGCCUAACACAUGCAAGUCGAACGAGACCUUCGGGUCUAGUGGCGCACGGGUGCGUAACGCGUGGGAACCUGCCCUUAGGUUCGGAAUAACUCCCCGAAAGGGGUGCUAAUACCUGAUAAUGUCUUCGGACCAAAGAUUUAUCGCCUUUGGAUGGGCCCGCGUUGGAUUAGCUAGUUGGUAGGGUAAAAGCCUACCAAGGCGACGAUCCAUAGCUGGUCUGAGAGGAUGAUCAGCCACACUGGGACUGAGACACGGCCCAGACUCCUACGGGAGGCAGCAGUGGGAAAUAUUGGACAAUGGGCGAAAGCCUGAUCCAGCAAUGCCGCGUGAGUGAUGAAGGCCUUAGGGUUGUAAAGCUCUUUUACCCGGGAUGAUAAUGACAGUACCGGGAGAAUAAGCUCCGGCUAACUCCGUG